CCUACGGGAGGCAGCAGUAGGGAAUAUUGCUCAAUGGGGGCAACCCUGAAGCAGCAACGCCGCGUGGAGGAUGAAGGUUUUCGGAUUGUAACCUCCUUUUUUUGGAGAAGAUAAUGACAGUAUCUAACGAAUAAGCACCGGCUAACUCCGUGCCAGCAGCCGCGGUAAUACGUAGGGUGCAAGCGUUACUCGGAAUCACUGGUCGUAAAGGGCACGUAGGCGGGAUAGCAAGUCAGAUGUGAAAUCCUAUGGCUUAACCAUAGGACUGCAGUUGAAACUGUUAUUCUAGAGUAUGGGAGAGGUAGGUGGAAUUCUUGGUGUAGGGGUAAAAUCCGUAGAGAUCAAGAGGAAUACUCAUUGCGAAGGCGACCUGCUAGAACAUAACUGACGCUGAUGCGCGAAAGCGUGGGGAGCAAACAGGAUUAGAUACCCUUGUAGUC
rnacentral:rRNA from 1 species